GGCUUUCUUUUUGGAAGAAACUAACUGAGAGGCUAUACAAGGUUGCUGAUAUUUGAAGGUUGGAUAAGGUUUAUUUGUGAUGAAAGUGGUGGCCAUAGAUUAUAUGAACAUGUACAGGAGAAAAAGGCUGGCUGCAUUUCAUAGAUCCAACCCAAGCAACCGUGAAGAUUAAGAAAACAAGCCUCCUAAUAGAGGAGUAACAAAAGAUGUAUGGUUCUAUGCUCUUGGGUUAAAUGUUUUU
rnacentral:lncRNA from 1 species